rnacentral:siRNA from 1 species
CAGUGUUCCGCGCUGCACAUUCAC